ACGAACCUUGCUAACGUUAUUCGGAAUUACUGGGCGUAAAGCGUGCGUAGACGGUUAUUUAAGUCGGAUGUGAAAGCCCCGGGCUCAACCUGGGAAUUGCAUUCGAGACUGAAUAGCUAGGGUACGGUAGAGGGAAGUGGAAUUUCCGGUGUAGCGGUGAAAUGCGUAGAUAUCGGAAGGAACAUCAGUGGCGAAAGCGACUUCCUGGACCAGUACCGACGUUCAGGCACGAAAGCGUGGGGAGCAAGCAGGA
rnacentral:rRNA from 1 species